UAGGUGCCCUGGCAGUUAUGUCCUGGAACAACGCACUGUAGUGAGAUUCAGGAUAGCCUGUUUUCUUAAGCCUUACAUCCUAUGUCUCUUACCUCUCUGCAUCUACUGGCUUGUAGAUGGUGAAUGAAUCUACUGGCCACCGCUGGUGAAUGAAAGCAGCUACAGCCCACUGCUGUGGCUAAGCAAGUCUGCCAGAAAGCUUGAAGAGGAGCCUCAGGUGCCCUUUACAGAGCAAAAGCAUCCUCUGAGUAGCUAAAGCUUGGACUUCUAAGUAAGGCAUCGAUGCGGAGAUCAUCCUGAUUCUGUUGACAUCCUGAAGUGAUGCUCAAUGCCAGGAAAUCUCUUCAGUCUUUAAAUUUAUCUGUCAAGGUCGAGCACAAGGUGCCAGAUGGUGAUCUGCAGUUCAACAACAGACCACAAGAGAAAAUGAAAUAGAGACAUUUAUUAUUCACAACCCUGGAGGAAGUAUCUGGUAUUUCCAACACUGUCAUUACAACAACUGUCUCCAUGCUAGUGAAAAAUGGAAACCGGCAAUCAUUUUUGA